rnacentral:rRNA from 1 species
AGCGAACGCUGGCGGCAGGCCUAACACAUGCAAGUCGAACGAACCCUUCGGGGGUAGUGGCGGACGGGUGAGUAACAAGGGGGAACGUGCCUUUAGGUUAGGAAUAACUCAGGGGAACUUGGGCUAAUAACGAAUGGGCCCUUCGGGGGAAAGAUUUCUCGCCUUUAGAGCGGCCCGAGUCUGAUUAGCUAGUUGGUGAGGUAAUGGCUAACCAAGGCUACGAUCAGUAGCUGGUCUGAGAGGAUGACCAGCCACAUUGGGACUGAGACACGGCCCAAAAUCCUACGGGAGGCAGCAGUGGGGAAUCUUGCGCAAUGGGCGAAAGUCUGACGCAGACAUGCCGCGUGGAUGAUGAAGGUCUUAGGAUUGUAAAAUCCUUUCACCGGUGAAGAUAAUGACUGUAGCCGGAGAAGAAGCCCCGGCUAACUUCGUGCCAGCCGCCGCGGUAAGAC